rnacentral:rRNA from 1 species
UACGGAGGGGGCGAGCGUUAUUCGGAAUCAUUGGGCGUAAAGGGCGCGUAGGCGGUUUGCUAAGUUGGAUGUGAAAACUCUGGGCUUAACCCAGAGCCUGCAUCCAAAACUGGCAAACUUGAGUACUGGAGGGGAAAGCGGAAUUCCUGGUGUAGCGGUGAAAUGCGUAGAUAUCAGGAGGAACACCGGUGGCGAAGGCGGCUUUCUGGACAGUAAACUGACGCUGGAGGCGCGAAAGCUAGGGGAGCAAACAGG